GUGCUUAACACAUGCAAGUCGAACGGACAGAUUUAGAGCUUGCUUUAAAUCUGUUAGUGGCGGACGGGUGAGUAACGCGUGGGUAACCUGCCUUAAACAGAGGGAUAGCAAGUGGAAACGCUUGGUAAUACCACAUAAAGCCUAAGCAUUGCAUAAUGAAUAGGUGAAAGGAGGAAUCCGGUUUAAGAUGGGCCCGCGUCCAAUUAGCUAGUUGGUGAGGUAAGAGCGCACCAAGGCGACGAUUGGUAGCCGAACUGAGAGGUUGAGCGGCCACAUUGGGACUGAGAUACGGCCCAGACUCCUACGGGAGGCAGCAGUGGGGAAUAUUGCGCAAUGGGGGGAACCCUGACGCAGCGACGCCGCGUGAAGGAAGAAGGUCUUCGGAUUGUAAACUUCUUUGAUUAGGGAAGAGGAAGGACGGUACCUAAAGAACAAGCCACGGCUAACUACGUGCCAGCAGCCGCGGUAAUACGUAGGUGGCAAGCGUUGUCCGGAAUUACUGGGUGUAAAGGGCGAGUAGGUGGAUCACUAAGUCAGAGGUGAAAACCCAUGGCUAAACUGUGGGAUAGCAACUGAAACUAGAGAUCUUGAGUACUGGAGAGGGAAGCGGAAUUCCUAGUGUAGCGGUGAAAUGCGUAGAUAUUAGGAGGAACACCAGUGGCGAAGGCGGCUUCCUGGACAGAGACUGACACUGAGGCGCGAAAGCGUGGGGAGCGAACAGGAUUAGAUACCCUGGUAGUCCACGCUGUAAACGAUGGAUACUAGGUGUAGGUGGUAAGAAACUAUCUGUGCCGGAGUAAACACAAUAAGUAUCCCACCUGGGGAGUACAGCCGCAAGGUUGAAACUCAAAGGAAUUGACGGGGGCCCGCACAAGCAGUGGAGUAUGUGGUUUAAUUCGAAGCAACGCGAAGAACCUUACCAGGGCUUGACAUCCCUUGAACUAUCUAGAGAUAGGUAGGGCCUACGGGACAAGGAGACAGGUGGUGCAUGGUUGUCGUCAGCUCGUGUCGUGAGAUGUUGGGUUAAGUCCCGCAACGAGCGCAACCCUUAUAGCUAGUUGCCAGCAAUAAGAUGGGGACUCUAGCGAGACAGCCGUUGAGAAAACGGAGGAAGGAAAGGGUGACGUCAAAUCAUCAUGCCCCUUAUGCUCUGGGC
rnacentral:rRNA from 1 species